UUUAAAAAUGGUGUUUAGAAUUUCAUAAAUGCUAAACGUUAUUUUAUUGUAUGAAUUUGUGGUCGAAUCAUAUCAUGAACUUUAUAAACUAUAAAGAGAUGAAAUCAUAUUAUGCAUCUUAUUUGAAAAGAUAAAUAGUAUGGCUAAACUUUUCAAGUGUGUUUAUGUUAUGAAUCUCUUACUUUUCUUAUGUUUUGUUAUCGUAAAGGAUGGUGGUGAGGAUUAUAAAUGUAACAAUGAUGGCGAUUGUCCACAUUCACUGGACAAGUUUUAUUUAUACAAGUGCAUUGCUCUGAAAUGUAAGGAGGUGAGGCAUUGGUUUUAGAUAAAUAACCAUUAAUGAUGGUUUAGUUAUUAUCUUAGGACCCAAUAUUAUUUUCUUUUCCCAAUUUUAAGAAUCUUGCAUUAAUGAUUAUGUAAUCUAAGAUGUUAAAGAGGUAUACUUUAUGAUAUAAGAAACAAAAUUAUUUUUUUAAUUCAUUAUUAAUAAUGAAUAUAUCUAAUCCAUAUAUUGACCAAA